UCCUAGUUCGUCUAACGGUCUAAGAUACGGCACUUUCAUUGCGUCAACAAGAUAUAAUUAGAGCUGCUGAGAUCGGGGUUCGAUUCCCCGGCUGGGAA